GCCCCUAAGGCGAGGCCGAAAGGCGUAGUCGAUGGGAAACGGGUUAAUAUUCCCGUACUGACGUGCAUUGCGAUGGGGGGACGGAGAAGGCUAGAUGGGCCAGGCGUUGGUAGUCCUGGUGAAAGGGAGUAGGUGGUGGCUUUAGGCAAAUCCGGAGCCAUAACACUGAGACCUGAGACGAAGUCACCACGGUGGCGAAGUCAUUGAUGCCCUGCUUCCAGGAAAAGCCUCUAAGCAACAGAUGCACGUGAACCG
rnacentral:rRNA from 1 species